rnacentral:tRNA from 1 species
GCCCGGAUGGCGGAAUUGGUAGACGCGCUGGUCUCAAACACCAGUGAGGUCAUACUCGUGCCGGUUCGACCCCGGCUCCGGGUACAA